rnacentral:rRNA from 1 species
GCCAUGCAUGUCUCAGUACAAACCAAAAUAAGGUGAAACCGCGAAAGGCUCAUUAAAUCAGUUAUGGUUCAUUAGAUCGUACACACAUUUACUUGGAUAACUGUGGUAAUUCUAGAGCUAAUACAUGCAAACAGAGCUCCAACCGGAGACGGAAGGAGUGCUUUUAUUAGAUCAAAACCAAUCGGCCGCAAUAGCGUUUCGGCGUUUAUUGUUCGUCGCUUAUUUUGAUGAUUCUGAAUAACUUUGCUGAUCGCACGGUCUUGCACCGGUGACGUAUCUUUCAAAUGUCUGCCUUAUCAACUGUCGAUGGUAGGUUCUACGCCUACCAUGGUUGUAACGGGUAACGGGGAAUCAGGGUUCGAUUCCGGAGAGGGAGCCUGAGAAACGGCUACCACAUCCAAGGAAGGCAGCAGGCGCGCAAAUUACCCACUCCCAGCACGGGGAGGUAGUGACGAAAAAUAACGAUACGGGACUCAUCCGAGGCCCCGUAAUCGGAAUGAGUACACUUUAAAUCCUUUAACAAGGAUCAAUUGGAGGGUAAGUCUGGUGCCAGCAACCGCGGUAACUCCAGCUCCAAUAGCGUAUAUUAAAGUUGUUGCGGUUAAAAAGCUCGUAGUUGAAUUUGUGUUCCGCGCUGUCGGUUCACCGCCCGCGGUGUUUAACUGGCACGUUUCGCGGAACGUCCUGCCGGUGGAUAGGUAAUUUAUUGUAUACUUCCCCCUUAUUAUGCCUGUUCAUGUAUAUUUUAUAUUUAUAUUAUACUUCAUAUUUAUGGGAUAAAACCUGUUAUAUGUUUGUAUUUAUAUAUUAUAUUUAUAUGUAGAGCAACGUAUAAUUUAGGUGUGGGGUUUCAAUAAUAUAAUUACCAUCCGACUCAAUAAUCCUGUCGCGGUGCUCUUAAUUGAGUGUCGAGGCAGGCCGGCACGUUUACUUUGAACAAAUUAGAGUGCUUAAAGCAGGCUAAAAUUUUGCCUGAAUAUUCUGUGCAUGGAAUAAUGAAACAGGACCUUGGUUCUAUUUUGUUGGUUUUCGGAACAACAAGGUAAUGAUUAAUAGGGACAGAUGGGGGCAUUCGUAUUGCGACGUUAGAGGUGAAAUUCUUGGAUCGUCGCAAGACGAACAGAAGCGAAAGCAUUUGCCAAAGAUGUUUUCAUUAAUCAAGAACGAAAGUCAGAGGUUCGAAGGCGAUCAGAUACCGCCCUAGUUCUGACCAUAAACUAUGCCAGCUAGCGAUCCGCCGAUGUUCCUCCGAUGACUCGGCGGGCAGCUUCCGGGAAACCAAAGCUUUUGGGUUCCGGGGGAAGUAUGGUUGCAAAGCUGAAACUUAAAGGAAUUGACGGAAGGGCACCACCAGGAGUGGAGCCUGCGGUUUAAUUUGACUCAACACGGGAAACCUCACCAGGUCCGGACACCGGAAGGAUUGACAGAUUAAGAGCUCUUUCUUGAUUCGGUGGGUGGUGGUGCAUGGCCGUUCUUAGUUGGUGGUGUGGAUUGUCUGGUUAAUUCCGAUAACGAACGAGACUCUAGCCUACUAACUAGGCGUAAUUUACCGGUAUCUCGAAGGCUUGUGUCUUUCGUUUAUUGUUUAUAUUAUUGUUGUGAUGUUAGUAUAAUGUUUCGGCAUUAUGCGCAUUGCACUUGGUAUAUUCGGUGCGGAAGUUCACGGUUUUUACUACCGGCGUUUAUAUAUUUCUUCUUAGAGGGACAGGCGGCGUAUAGCCGCAUGAGAUUGAGCAAUAACAGGUCUGUAAUGCCCUUAGAUGUCCUGGGCCACACGCGCGCUACACUGAAGGAAUCAGCGUGUCUUCCCUGGCCGAAUGGCCCGGGUAACCCGUUGAACCUCCUUCGUGCUAGGGAUUGGGGAUUGAAAUUCUUCCCCAUGAACGAGGAAUUCCCAGUAAGCGCGAAUCAUAAAUUUGCGUUGAUUACGUCCCUGCCCUUUGUACACACCGCCCGUCGCUACUACCGAUUGAAUUGUUUAGUGAGGUCUUUGGACUGGUACGCGGUAGUGUUCCGACAUUGCCGAUGUAGCUGGAAAGAUGACCGAACUUGAUUAUUUAGAGGAAGUAA